AAAAAGAUGAACGUGGGAGAAUUUGAGGUUUGUUAAGGUGUUGAAGGACUUGGGGUCUUGGGAGGUAACAGAUGAUUCAGAGAGGACACCUUUAUGUUUGCGGUGAAGGGCAGGAUGCGUACCUUGCUGCAGGUGUAUAAAACAACGAAGGAUAACAAAAAUCGAACGAGUUCCUGUUCGUACUUCGGUCUGUAUGAGGAGCUAACGGAUGAGAUAUUUGGCAAUGGCAAAAUUAUCUCUGACGCACAUACGAUGCAUUUAGAGAGGGACCAGUGCAGAUGUUAGACGAUGACUCGGAAUCAUCAAUGACAUCAUCACCGUUGCUGUCCCAAUUAUCUCAAAAUGCGUACUGGUGUACGCAAGGUAUACAAGGGAUCGAGAUAUGUAUGUAUGCACCAAAAGGUUCAGAAUAAUAAGAGGAAUCGAUUUAGCCGUUCUUGUCCGUCCGUUCGUUUGUCUGUGGUGGCCGCGCCGUACUGUUACUAGAGCUAUAUUUUUUAUGUACAUAUAUAGUGGCACUUAGAGUUGCUAACAGGUAUGCCUCUGAACUUUGUCUAUUUCAUCGAUCUCCGGUAAUAAAAUUUUAGCUCAUUUAUUGCAUGAACAAGAUA